rnacentral:rRNA from 1 species
AGCGACUAGCGUGAAUCAUCGAAUCUUUGAACGCACCUUGCACCGGCAGAGUCCAUCUGGCGGUAUACCUGUUUGAGCAUCAUUUACAUUUAUCCGCAGCAGUGUUGCGUUGCGUUGCAUUGUGUUGCAAUGCGCAAUGGCACUGCUGAGGGAGGUGAGAUCCAUGGGCCGCAGGGCGCAUGCUUCUCCAAAUGCAGGGCGCGAACGCGGCAACGGCAGGUUGGGCCGAGUGAGGAUAUUUGCGCAAGCAAACGAGACACCAGGCGGCAGCCGAAGGAGCUGCAGACGCAGCAACAGACGUGCAAGGGCCACAGUGUUUGCACUGCACGGCUGGGCACGCACGCACGCACAAAUGUGAUCUCAAAUCAGGCAAGACGACCCGCCGAACUUAAGCAUAUCAAUAAGCGGAGG